GUACUCACUUCAGCAGCACAUAUACUAAAAUUGGGCAAUAUAAAAAAGAUUGGCAUGGCCCCUGUGUAAGGACAUAAUGUAAAUUAGUGAAGCAUUCUAUUAUAAU
ensembl:snRNA U6 U6 spliceosomal RNA